rnacentral:ncRNA from 1 species
GUGUUGUAUGAAAGGAGAGAAGGUUAGCACUCCCUUUGACAAGGAUGGAAGAGGCCCUCGGGUCUGACAACAGCCAUGUGGUUAAGGCAUUGCCACCUACUCCAAUUAUGU